UAUGUGAUCGUCUCUCGCAUAUCAAUAAGCGGAGGAAAAGAAACUAACAAGGAUUCCCCUAGUAGCGGCGAGUGAAGCGGGAAGAGCUCAAAUUUGAAAUCUUAAAGGGUUUCCCUUUACGAAUUGUAGUUUAAAGAAGUGUUUUCUGUUGAGGUUUUGGUAAAAGUUCUUUGGAAUAGGACAUCAUAGAGGGUGAGAAUCCCGUAUUUGACCUUUACUUUCAACUUUGUGAUACACUUUCAAAGAGUCGGAUUGUUUGGGAAUGCAGUCCAAAAUGGGUGGUAAAUUUCAUCUAAAGCUAAAUAUUGGCGAGAGACCGAUAGCGAACAAGUACCGUGAGGGAAGAUGAAAAGAACUUUGAAAAGAGAGUUAAACAGUACGUGAAAUUGUCAAAAGGGAAGCGUUUGACACCAGUGUUGUUUUUCUGAAAAUCAAUUAAAGAACUGUUUAUGCUAAGUUGUUUAGACUUUAUCAGCUAACUGUUUAGUUUUGAGCUUUUCUUUAAUGCACUUUUCAGUUAACAAGUCAACAUCAAUUUCUUUUGCUGUAAAAAAGCUUGAGGAAGGUGGCUUGAGAUUCGUCUUAAGUGUUUAUAGCCUCUUGCCUAUGCAGUCGGAGAGAUUGAGGUCUGCAGCGUAGAUCCUUCGGGGCUAAAUGCAUUUGUGCUAAGUUAUAGCAUUUUAUAGACAACUUGUUGUACUAUGAUUUGUCUUGUAGCUUACUCGCUUAUGUUAUUUUACCUACGCUUAGGAUGUUGAUCUACAGAGCGAGAGU
rnacentral:rRNA from 1 species